GAUGAACGCUGGCGGCGUGCCUAUACAUGCAAGUCGAGCGAACAGACGAGGAGCUUGCUCCUCUGACGUUAGCGGCGGACGGGUGAGUAACACGUGGAUAACCUACCUAUACGACUGGGAUAACUUCGGAAAACCGGAGCUAAUACCGGAUAACAUGUUGAACCGCAUGGUUCAACAGUGAAAGACGGUCUUGCUGUCACUUAUAGAUGGAUCCGCGCCGCAUUAGCUAGUUGGUAAGGUAACGGCUUACCAAGGCAACGAUGCGUAGCCGACCUGAGAGGGGGAUAGGCGACGCUGGAACUGGGACACGGUCCAGACUCCUACGGGAGGCCGCAGUAGGGAAUCUUCCGCAAUAGGCGAAAGCCUGACGGAGCAACGCCGCGUGAGUGAAGAAGGUCUUCGGAUCGUAAAACUCUGUUAUUAGGGAAGAACAAAUGUGUAAGUAACUAUGCACGUCUUGACGGUACCUAAUCAGAAAGCCACGGCUAACUACGUG
rnacentral:rRNA from 1 species